rnacentral:tRNA from 1 species
GCCCUCGUAGCACAAUGGAUAGUGCGUCGGACUUCUAAGCCGUUGAUGUUGGUUCGAUUCCAACCGAGGGCA